UCCACUUAAGCAGCCAACAAGAACUUGCAAGUGAAGUUCUCUCUUCUAUCUAUUUAUUAUUUAUUAGUUUCUCUUCAUCAAUUUUUAGCUUUACAGCCAGCAAUAUCAAUGGCGUACCUGCAUGCUUUGACUACAAUAAAUUGCUUGUUUUGCGUUUUACUAAGGUUAUGGUUGAUGAAUUAUUUACUUCUAUGGGAUCUAAGUACUUUCCAAGUAAAAAAAACAAAAUUGAAAUCCAUGACCAAGAUUGAGUUUUUUUCCUUUUUAAGAUAAACCCAGUUCAAAAAUUUUGGAUUUUCUUAUUUUUAGUUACAUGGGCAAAGAAAGAUCUGAGAUAUGAGGGGUUUUGUUCUAUAUUUUAAGUGAUAGUAUCGGUUAUUGGGAUUUGCGAUGAAUUGUUACUGUAGCUAGUUGAAAACAACGGUCAUGAGGAGAACUACUAGAUAGUAUGGUUCUUCUUAUAGGAGUUUUGAAGCUGCUCAAUGUGCUUGAAAAUGGACGUCCUCCAUAUUUGUUUGUGGCUUUUCGUUCUUGUAUGUGAAUGGCCCUUGAUUCAAUAAAGCAUAUGCAAUGUUGAUUUAAUGUGCAAAUGAAAAGAUAAAAAGACAAGGAGAAUAUGCUUCGCUGAAGACAUUUUGAGAUACAAUAUCCUAAAGUGAGUGUGGUAUUGAUGACUUAACAGCAUUGUCUGUCUUUUGGCUGAUGCAUAAACAUUGAUAGAUGGGUGAACUUGGGAAGUAUGGCUCUGUAACCGAGUCAACAGCAGGUGGUGGGCGUCGACCUGCCCUUUCGAAGCACUUUCUAGUGUGCGCUUUAGUUUUCGAAUGUGUAGUUCAGCGUCACGAGUCUACAAGUCUUUCGUGUUUCAGUGCUCGCCUUCAUAAUCUUCAGUAGGGGCCGUCUAGUCUUUUGAUUAGAGUAGGGGUCGCGAGACAGCAGAGCUCCCUUCCAUAGUCGCGAGUCUGUUUAUAGUCGCGACUGUUAUCAUAGUCAACAAGGUCACCACUUCCAGGAAAAAACCCCCCCACACUGACUUGACGAGGAAUCCAUUCUCGCGGAUCCCUGGUGACCUGAGUGUCAUCAACUUACAAGCCAUAUGAAUUUACCUUGAAACUCACCGUUGUUGUGUUGAUUGGCCCAUAACCUAGUUAAAUUUAUGUUCGGAUUUUUUUUAUUCUUCUUUUGUGAUUCUUUCAUUUCAAGGGUGGAUUGCUGCACGCAGAAUGGGUAAUUCUUUGUUGAUUUAAUGCCAAAUCACCUUUUGCAUGGUGCCUAAAUUGUGCUGCUUUUCACAAUUGAAGGGAGAUGCUGUCCAUUGGCUUCCUUCAGGGAACUCUUUUGCUGGUCAGUGGAUGCUCUCCAAUUAGCUGUGACAAACUUCUCUGCAGACAAGCAUGUCUGGUGGAUCCAAGCUCCCAUCAAAAUCACGGCAAGCUCUUUGUAAUUACAAUAAGAUCAGACUCUUAAGAGGAUGAUGUCUGAUCGGAAACCUACCGCUGAUGACGUUUUGGAAAAAUCUUUCACGGUUUCUGAUUGAGUUAACUUUGAUGAAGAAUAAAAGAACAGCUGAACCCUGCUAGACCUUUAUUUUGCUGCCUGUUCCUUUCUAUGCGGCAAUGGAUGGUUCUGCUACCACUGGAAUGAGUAGCUAAACAUUCUCUCUGUCAAAACAGCCUUAAAACAACAUCAAUAGGAUUGUAGACUCAUAACAUUAGGAUAGGUCAUUUUGCUGCCUUCUCUUGGAAUUGUUUGUUGAUGUAAUUUUGGCUUGGAGAAAUGCCACCCAUGGGCAUGAAUGGCCAAACAUUGUCUACCAACAACUGUUACACUCAUAGCAGGGUUUGGUUGUAUUUUACGUCAUUUGCCAGUGUAAUGCACACACGGUCAAUAUUCACAGCUAUUGGCAGAAUCCCUGAUAUGCUCACUGCCAUCUGUUUUUGUAAUGUCUUGAAAUUUCUUUCAGAAAGGGAAAGAAUCUUGGCAUUGCCUUCAAAAUA